rnacentral:rRNA from 1 species
UACGGGGGGAGCAAGCGUUGUUCGGAUUUACUGGGCGUAAAGGGCGCGUAGGCGGUAGCACAAGUCAGUUGUGAAAUCUCCGGGCUUAACUCGGAAAGGUCAACUGAUACUGUGCGACUAGAGUGCAGAAGGGGCAACUGGAAUUCUCGGUGUAGCGGUGAAAUGCGUAGAUAUCGAGAGGAACACCUGCGGCGAAGGCGGGUUGCUGGGCUGACACUGACGCUGAGGUGCGAAAGCGUGGGGAGCAAACAGG